rnacentral:lncRNA from 1 species
CAGGUGUGUGGAGCCAUGUUUGUCAGACACGCAGAAAACCUGAAAAGAUACCUCAAAAGACCAAUCUACAACAGUGAUGUUAUUUGCAGGAAUAAUUGGGGAAGUCGCAUAUCUUAUAACUUCCCGAAUAAUGGCUGAUAAUCGUUAGUGAACCAGAUAAUCAGAUAAACUGAAUUAUAAUGUUUUGGUAGUGAAUGCUAAUACUUGAGUAAAAGUACACUGGGGUACAAUGACCUCUUAGAAGUGGAAACUCUGGGAGAAGACAUCAGAUAUUGGAAGAGAUUACUGCAAAGGUAGGGACUUUCAGUCUCAGUAUAUCAGAUGAUAUUCAACUCUCUAUUCUGCCUCCAUGCGAAAUGUCCUGCUCUUGCAUACAGUGCAAAAAGAAUGAGUAUAAACCUAGAGGAGAACUGGGAGAUAUUAAUUGCCAUUAAACAGACAGUAUGUUCUAAGAGCUAAAAUAUUACAAAAACAGAGCAACAGUCUACCCAUCUAGUGAUGAAACUCCAGGACAAGGCUGGUGACCCUGAAAUGUGAAUACAAAGUGAACUUUGAUCCCAGCCUGCCAAAGUGGUACUUUUCUUUAG